rnacentral:lncRNA from 1 species
CUUAAGAUACAAUAAAACAUACUUAACUGUUUUAAAAAGUGUGUCAUAGGAGCUUUUGAACAUACAAAUAGAAUCAUACUUCAAUUUCAGUUUAUACUGAACAAAAUACAGUUUUUCUUUGAAUUGGUAGUACUUCAGAAUCUGAGUGUCUUAACAGUCAUUGUGUUAGUAAAUUUGAGUGCCUCCUGUAUGCUGGGUAUUCAAGAUGCUAAGGAUCCAUCCAGCUUUGAACAAGACAAGGCCCAUUCAUUCAGCUGCAUUAGGAUAUUUAUCGAUGACCUAUUAUUAUCAGGAACUUACUCUUCUAGGCAUUGCAGAUACAAUGUGAAAAAAAGACAAAUCCUUGUCUUUGUGGACUUAGAUUCUAGUAGGAGGAGAGGAAUAAGCAGGAAAGAUAAAUAAAAUGUAUAGUGUGUUAGAUGGUGAUAAGUGGUUUGGAGAAAAAAACAAUGAAGGGAAUAGGGAAUACUAGGCAAGAUGCAUAUGUUGGAAUUUUAAAUAGUUGGUCGUUAAAGACCUCAUUGAGAAGGUGACUUAACAGAAGAUGGGAAAGUGAGAUCCCUGCCAUUGCAUUAGAAAGAGGUAGACAGGUAUAGAAAUUAGAUCAUUUCAGAUAGCAUGUGCUUGUAAAUCAACAUGGUAUGAAAUGAUUAUGAGACUCUACUUUGGGUGGUCAAGAAAGGUGACAUGUGAGUGCAGACACUGAAGAAACAUAAGAGUCAAGAAUGAUUGAAGCAGAGGAAACAGCAAAUUCAGAGACCCUAGUUUUGUUGAGGAACAUAAAGCCAGCCUGGCUAGAGUUUAAAUGAGUGAGGUGUUAAGAAAGACGAAGUUGAGGAAGCAGCUGUAAAGUCAUAGGAUUUUAUUCUAAAUGUGGUGGCAGUAACUGGGCAGGUAUAACAUCAUAGGAUUUUAUUCUAAAUAUGGUGGAGGUAACUGGGCGUGGUGGCUUAUGCCUG